GAUGCCGGGAGGGGCAGAUGUGGACUCACGUGGCUCUCGGCCCCCAUGGGCUGGAAUUGGGCCUCCUCGGGAGCAGCCUGAGAGUGCUCAUUCUUGGCCAAAUCUUGUGAUUCAUCCUCAAUGCUUCUGGAACCCACAAGCCACCCAGCCUCACUUUCUAAAAAUAUGAUUGAGAAAGCAAGACAGAGUUUGGGACGGAGGUUUCUCCAGCGGAGCAGAGCCCUGGCAUCCUAUGGAACAUACUGUGAGUGUUCACAGCCGAGAAAGUAAGAUGACCGGGAGGUCAUUUUCAAAGAGGAAACGGGCCCCACCCCAACACAGCCACCGAGGGAGAAUCGCAGGAGGCAGCUCCCCCAAAACUGGGAGGAGAUCAGGACUGGGUUCCCCCAUACCUUCCCGGUCUUGAGUCAGAAACCAGAGAUUUGCAAACAGCAUCAAAAGCCUUCACUUCCUUCUGCAGCCUUAAAGUUUGAACUUUACUUACAUUUUAGACAUGAAAAGUACAGCAAGAAAGCCACCAUGGUGAGUUUUAGGCAGAGGCCCUCUUGUGAAUAAUUCGUCUAUGAUCCAAGAUGGCCAGACAAGGAUCAGGGCCCAAGCUUUUCUUCCCCAGUGUCAUGGCCACCCUGCUGUCUCCUCUCCAGCUCAGACCAAAAUUCUCUGGACAUUUUCACGGCUGAAAACCCCACCAGAACGCCGGCCCUGACAGGACCCUCUCCUCAAGUCCUGAGGACCCAGCUGUGGCCGGCCAGAAUGUGAACUACAGCUCGCAGAUGCAGCAGGCUGGAGGAAGAGGAGGGAGAACAAGAGCGGGAGCUAGAAACCUUCAAAGGGGGCUCAAAGAACAAGGCCAGGAGAAGCAGCGACCAGGCCCCACCGGUUUCCUCCUUUCCCUCCUGAAUCUAGGACGGAGGCCAUUUCAGGCGAGAGAGGAAAGAACACCAAAACGAACCGCAGGAGAAGCAGCCGGAGCCUGCAAGGCCCAGCCAGAGAUGGCAGAGGAGAGAACCGCAAGCCAGGAGCAAGGAGGAGAGAGGGGGACUUCACUAACCAACCGACGCAGCCUAGAGGAGACAGGCAGACUUCACAAACCGACGCCACCUGAAGAAAGUAAAGAUUUAACUGUCAGAAGGAAAACACUGUUUGAAUAGCAGUGGCCUUAGGAAGAAGGCCCUAAUUUUUUAGAACACUGACCGGGGGCCAUCCUUUACCCAGAGGUACUGUGCCCCUCGCAAGGCAACACUGGCAGGAGCCCAGGAAGGCGGGGCAGCUGCAGACCCUCAGGAGCCGGUGAUGGCUCCGGGGGCAUGGGGAGAGUCCAGCGUGCACCAGAAGGAGGGAGGCCACCUCUCCUUGCAGCGUUAGGAGACCAGGGUCUUUGAAAGGGCGAGGACCACGGCCAGGCCAGCAUCACCACAUCACCAGGCUGAAGGCUGGUUAACUUGGUGGAAUCGGCUAUCUUCAUGUUCAAACCAGGACAUGGGGCUAUUUUGGUCCAGUCACCUGGCCUGACAUGAGCCACUGAGACUCGAACACCCCUGCUCUGGAGCAAAGAAGAACCCACACCUCUGUCCUGCCCGGCAGCCUCCCCACCACUCACUGGGGGCACGGGGUCCGUAUCCUCUCGCCGGGGGCACGGGGUUCGUAUCCUGUCCUUCUGUCUCCUCUAAGUGUCCCUUAAACUUAAGGCCAAUCCUAUGAUUUCCCUCUAAAAGCAUUCUUCCGAAUUCUACCCCAAAGAAACCAGUGACAUUUCUCAACAUCAGGCUUCCUAAUCUCUACAGGCCGCCUGAAGAAAAAGAAGAGAUAUGUGUAUGGCCAUGCCAUUUGGAAAUAAAAGAAAAGCCUUUAACCACCUCCUACCUUCAGCUGCUUUCCCUAAGCAGAGAAGGUCCAGAAAGCACCUUCACAGGGGCUGGGAGCUCCAGCCCUGCCCAUCCACACAGCAAACACAGCAACCAGAAAUAACACGUUCACAGGCUUCCCCUCCCCACUCCCAACUCAGCUGCAAAAGAGCUGAUAAAAUGAGGAUGGGCUCUAUGUAAGUAAACAGUACUCGAUCUACCAGUUCACGACAUCAUCAAAGACAUGUAGAGAGAAAAUACAUACACAGGUAAUAAUAACAAUGAUAAUUCUAUUUUGUUAGAUUAGAAACAUUUUUCCUGGACAGAAGCACCACCACCUGGGGUCCCAGUGAAAAGCACGGGCCGGGCGUGCUCCCCGUGACCAGGUCAGAGCGCAGAGCCCGCCUGGUGACCUCAUUUCCUUAGGGCAAUUGCACCUUCUGUCUGGAGCCUGGUCCCUCUUAAAGGUAGAAGAGUGCAGAAAAUAAUUCACCAGAAGCAGGCAUGGUGCAUCCCCAGGACGGAUCCUUCACUGCACCCGAGAACCCACAGGAAGAAGCAGCUCUGCGCAAGCACCUGACUCCCCACAGAGCUGAGACGGCUGCUCGGGGACUGUGUCCCCCAGCAAAGCACAGAGCUGAGCCAGCUGCUCGGGGACUAUGUCCCCCAGGAAAGCACGUCUGAGUCUUGGGCUCCAGCUCCUGUGUAUGGGAUGUGAUUUGGAAAUGGUCUCCAAAGAGGGAAGUGAGUUAAAGAUGAGGCCAUCAGAGUGGCUCCUAAUCCAGGGACUGGUGUCCCUAAGAAGGAGACACUGGACAGAGACAGAAGUGCCCAGUGGGAAGGCGAGGCCAGAAUUCCCAGAGAACACCUGGUGACCCAGCAGAGGUGGGAGGGAGGCCCCUGUAAGCCGAGGAAUGGCAGGGAUGCCAGGGCCACCAGAGGCUGGAGGAGGCAGGAAGGACCCUCUCUGUAGCCUUCAGAGAUGCACGGCCCCGCUGAGACCUUGAUCUCAGACCCUGGGCAGGUGCAGGGCCUGGAGAGCUUUACACCAUUCUAAGCCUGCCAGUGUGCGGGGCUCCGUUACCAAAGCCUUGGGCACUGCACGUGCCAUCUCAGACCCUCUGGCCCCAUGCAGCCAGAGCUCAGCGACGAGCCAGGCCCGCAGCUCUUCCUCGGGACCCUCAUGUUUUCUCUCUCUGCAAGCCUUCUCCUUUCUAAACUGUUGUUGCUAAGUCAGAAAGAGAAGAGAAGGCAUCAUGUUGAAUAAUAUCGAGUGAUAAAUCUGCAGUAUAUGCUAAAGGUCCACAGACGAUGUGUUUAAUUCAACAAACCAGGGACAAGAAUGAUGAAUAAAACACGGCUUGCUGAU
rnacentral:antisense_RNA from 1 species